UUGGGACGGACAUCACAAGGUCGUAGUGUUGAGACGCUCAAAAGUGUCUUAACGCUACUGCAGGUUAAAAUCUCGCCGUGACAUGUUGAGACGCUCGAAAUCUGGGACUUUAAAUCCAAGAUUUCUACUCAUGGGGGAGCCCUAGCCGUUGCCCCCUACUUUUCUCCUCUCUUCUAAGUUUUCUCUCCUCUUCUCUCAAUUUCUUCCAAAUUUCUAUUCCGUUCUUCCAUAUUCCCUCAUACCCACUCUAUUUUGCAGCAAUAUUUCAAAUUCAAGGUGGGAUGAAGACAUUUUCGAGGUUCUUGAAGCUACAUCUGUGGAAAAAAGGUAUCAAGAAGAAUCGAGACAUCAAAUUGAUCAAAUAGAGUGAAAGGUAAUAGUCCGAGCAAGUUGAGAAGGCCUCACAACGUAAUUUAGAGCUAGAAGACCCGAGGGGGGGGGUAGCGUUGAGAUGCUACCAGAGUGUCUCAACGCUUAAAUGUCACAGCCAGCCGACUGACCAGCAAGGGUAGUGUUGAGACGCUACCUCAGAGCGUCUCAAUGCUACGACGAUGUUGAAGCGGGUUUAUUAACGCUUCACGUCGUAGCAUCUCAAUGCAAUUCAUAGCGUCUCGAUGCUACGACGCCUGGAUCGGUUUCUUUUUAGUAUUUAGGGCAUAACGUUGAGACGCUGUCUUGAAUUUUUCUAUAAAAUAAAGCCUUCGCAAAUCAAAAGAGGGGGGAGACCAGAGGGAAAAGGGUAGAGUAUUUCGAGGAAGAAGUCGAGUUUGAAGAUUGAUCCUGGAGAUUGAGUUGGGGACGAUCAAUCGACACGACAAAUUCAUUUUCUGUCUCUUUUUCUAUUAUUUUGCUAGUUUAAUCAUGAACACGAGUAGCUAAAUUUCAUUGUCUUAGGGAUUGAUGUAGCCAUUGACGUUUAUGGAUUGAUUGUUUAAUUUUUUUGAUUGAAUGCAUUUGUUUAUUCUAUUUAUGUUUCUCUUUGCUUUAUGCGUUUCAUCUCAAAUUAAUUGAUCUUAGACUUGCAAUCUUACACUCCACAGAGAUGGUUGAGAGUUGAGAACUGGGAUUCAUAACUGAAGGGGUUUUAAGAUCAAGAGAUUUAGAAUUCUUUUAGAGGCAGUUAAGAGACUUGUUUAUUGUAGCAUUUACUUGUUGCAAAACUAGAUAGGGAUAUUGGUUUCGUAAUUUAGUAAGGAGAUUUGGCUUGUGCUCGGGAGAGGCAGUUGAGAUUUGAGAGUUCCUGGCCUAUAGAAUUGAUAACCUAUUCAAUCUUGAAUAAUUAAAUAAUUGUUCCAUAGAUUCAAUCGGUGAAAUCUAUUCUCUAAGAUAGUUAUUUCCGUUGAAUUUACAUUCUUUAAUAGUUUAUUAGUUUAUGUUAACUUGUCUUGAUCAUAUUACAAUAUUUCAAUUUUAUUUUCUAAAUAGAAUUGGGCAAAAGUAUCUGUGGUUCUUAAGUGAUCUAAAAAUCCAACCCUGAGGACAAUAUCGAUAUCUACUUACUAAGUAUAUUAAAACUUGACCCAUACACUUGCGGUCGUAGUUAGCAAUUUCUGCUACAAGGAUUGAUUCUAGCUCAUUUGUAAAUGUGCUUUCGAGAUGUCCUCCAUCACGUGAGGAAGCGGCGCCGCCAGGGCUUCAAACUCUUUUCAAUAUUCUUCCAUCGUUUCUUCUUGCUUUAUGGCGAGAAACCAAGCACAUAAACUGCGAUCUUGUGACGGUCUGAAACGAUUGAAUAGUAAUAGUCUUUACUUGAGGUUGUGCCACCCUUUGAAUGGUUGCCGCCCCUCAUCAAAUUGAUACCACGGUAAGACUACCCCGUCGAAGCUUACCACCAUCAGGGUCACUGUUAAAGAUUGAAGAAUUCUUUAACCUUAAUCUUUCUGUAGGAUAGAAUGGUCAUGAUGGAGGAUGAGAGAAAAUGAAGACAGAAGAAUCAAGUGGUUCAGCUUAAUUAAAGCCUACGUCCACAGAAGAAGAGCAGAUGAUUCAUUCACUAUGUUCUUGGAAAAGAAAGUUUUACAAAGAUGAUGACUGAAACUACAUGGAAAAGUGGUAUUUAUAUCUUAUAUCUUUUACAACAGAAUUAUUAACUUUAGCUGAUUUACCCAGAUUUCUGUUGGUUUCAACACGGUAACAAACCCACAAAUAUCCACCUUUGAAAUUGACAGAAAGUGACGACGCUCUGCCCUAAGAAUUGUUCACCCUUUUUCAGGCAUGGUAAUACCAGUCAGCUUUAGGCAGUACUCAAAUUUCGCUUGUACGACUGGUUUAGUAAGCAUGUCUGCAGCAUUUUCAGAUGUAUGAACUUUAACUAUUUAAACGGUACUCAAAUUUCCAUUUCUCAAUUUGUUCUCUAACAUAAUGAAAUUUUAUGUCUAUGCGUUUUGUUCUAUUGUGAAAUUGUUGAUUCUUUGUUAAGUAUAUUGCACUUUGAUUAUCACAAUAGAUCUUUACCUGUUGUUGUUCAUGUCCGAAGUCCUAGUCCUUUGAACCACACGACUUCUUUUACUGCUUCUGAUAAGGCUAUAAAUUCGGCCUCUGUUGUGGAUAGGGCUACAACUGGUUGUAAAUUUGACUUCCAACUCACUAUAUUUCCAUCAACUAGGAAUAGAUAACCUGAUAAUGAUCUUCUGUUAUCUAGCUCUCCUGCGAAAUCAGAAUCUACAUAUCGUUGAAGCUAAGGAAGUGAUUCUCUUGGUCUUUUAUACAUUAGACCUGUAGUUGAAGUGCCCUUUAGAUAUCUUAGCACCCAUUUCACUGCUUCCCAGGGUCUUUUACUUGGAUUUGACAUGAACCUGCUGAUUAUACUUGUUGCAUAUGCAUUGAACAUACCAUCAAGUACAUUAUACUACCAAUAGCACUAGAAUAGGGAAUAGUUCUCAUGUAACUAGUAUGUUCAAAGUCAUCUUCUGUUGGUGAGUUUAUAUUCGAGAGUUUAAAAUGUUGAGCAAUUGAGGUCUUAACUGAUUUGGCUUCGUCCAUUUUAAAUUUUCUUAUAACUCUUUUUACAGUAAGAGGAUUGGCUAAUGAAUAUCUCUCCUUCAGCUAUCCUUCUUGAAACAUCCAUUCCUAGGAUUCUACUUGCUUCUCCCAAAUCUUUCAUGUCAAACUCUCAUUUCAAACAUUGUUUUACAAGAUUUGUUUCUUCUCGAUCAUUUCCAGCUAAGAGCAUAUUAUCAACCUAUAGAAGAAGAUAUAUGCUGAUUUUAUUAAUUGUUGUUUUGGAGUAGAGACAACUAUCAAAAUAGCUUAUGUUAAAGCCUAUAUUGAUUAUGAACUCACCAAAUCUGUUAUACCAGCACCUCGGAGCUUGUUUUAAACCGUAAGGGGAUUUAUUUAAUAAACAUACCUGUUCCUCUCUCCCUUUUACUUGAUAUCCUUCUGGUUGCUUUAGGUAAAUUAUUUCUUCAAGGUGUCCAUGAAGAAAUGCUGUUUUUACGUCUAAUUGAUCAAGUUCUUGACCUCUUUGUGCCACCAAAGCAAGUAGAACUCUAAUAGAUGUGUGCUUCACAAUAGGAGAGAAAAAUUCUGAGUAAUCGAUUCCCUCUCUUUGUGUAAACCCUUUGGCUACCAAUCUUGCCUUGUACCUUGGCUUUUGAACACCAGGAAGCCCUUCUUUAUACUUGUAGACCCACUUCGAGGAUAUGACCUUUUGGCAUUUUGGGAGAGGUACUAAAGUCCAUGUUCUGUUUAUUUCAAGAGAUGUCAUUUCUUCGUUCAUUGCAUUUAUCCAAUUUUCUGCAUUUGGACUGUCUAUAGCUUCCUGAAAACUUAGUGGUUCAUUAUCAUUAAAUGAAUGAGCUACACUUAGAGCUACAGCCAUUGUGUUACUCUCUGCAUACCUACUGGGACGUACAAUUUUUCUUCUUUGCCUAUCUCUUGCUAGAGAAUAACCUGUCAAAUCAGUCUGCAAUUGAGAAGUUUCUAUUACCUCAGUUAGUGGUUGAGAAGUUUCUCCAUGUUCAUCAAUAUCCUCUUCUUGUGUUUCUUGUAUUGAACUUUCAAGAUUUUUCUUAAAGCUGGAAGCUCCACCUCAAUUAUUGAGUUCUGAUUCAAACUUGCUAGUUUUGAUGGUUGUUGAUACAUGAACAUCUCUUCUUCUCGAAAAAUUACAUCUCUACUAUUUAUGCAUAUUUUAUCUGUUGGAUGCCAAAGCCUAUAUCCUUUUACUCCUUCUGAAAAUCCAACAAACAUGCAUCUGAUAGCUCUUGGCUUUAGUUUUCCCUGAUUUAUAUGACAUAACCAACACAACCAAUCACUUUAAGAUUAUCUAGAUUUGGAGGUUGUUUAGUCCAUUUUUCUUCAGGUGUUAGGAAUUGAUUUGCUGUGUGUGGACACCUAUUGAUAGUAUGAACAGCAUAGGAAGCUGCUUCUCCCAAAAUCUUUCUGGUAGGUUUGCAUCUGACAAAAGACAUCUCACACGUUCCAUUAUAGUUCGGUUUAGUCUUUCAGCUACCUCAUUUUGUUGGAGAUUAUUCCUUACGUUUUAUGUCUUUUUAUUCUAGUUGUUUUAUAGAAAAAGUUGAAUUCUUAUCCACAAAAUUCAAGUCCAUUGUCAGUUCUCAAGUAUUUUAUUGACCUUGACAUGCGAUUUUUUCAAUCAUUUUCUUCCAUUCUUUGAAUUUUUCAAGUACCUGGUCGUUGGUUUUUAAGAAAUAGAUCCAAGUCUUCCUAGAAAAAUCAUCAACAAGAGUUAGAAAGUACCUUGAACCACUUAGAGAUUGUGUUUGUGCAGGCCCCCAUAAAUCGGAGUGUAUGUAGUCAAGAAUGCCUUUUGUAACAUGCUCACUCUUUUGAUAACUUUGUUUCUUUGCCUUCCCCAUAAAGCAGUGCUCACAGAAACUCAUUUCUUUAGAUAUACCAAUGGGCAAAAUGCCCUGUUUUUCAAGUUCUAGGAGACCUUUAGUACUUAUAUGUGCUAAUCUUCCAUGCCAAAGAUCCCCAUUUGAACAUGUUGAUUAUGUUAUUAAUGCAGCACCAGGAGAAUCAAUAUCUUUGACCACAUACAACCCAUUCACUUUUUCUCCAACCAACACAAUUCUGGAAUUUUUUCUUACCUCAAGUGUACCAUCAUGUCCACUGUAUUCACAGCCUAUAGAGUCGAGCAUUCCUAAAGAUAUUAGAUUUCUUUUUAGGUUUGGCACAUGCCUAACGUUCUGAAGGAGCUUCAAAGAUCCAUAUUUUAUUUUAAUGAUAUUGACCCAAUACCAAUUACCUUUCAGAUGUCAUUGUUACCCAUGUAAACAGAACCACCAUCCCAUUCUUGGUAACUUUCACCAAGUCCUUGAUGGUGUCAUAUGGUAUGAACAGCCAGAAUCUAGCAACCAAUCAUUAUUUUCUCGAGUAUUACUUGAAUGAGCACGAUUAUCUGUUGCUGCCAAAACAUCCGAAUAAGUAACAACAUUUUCUCCUACAGAGGCUUCAGCAGGCUGUGAUUUCUUGUUCUUCAAGUUUUGCUUCUUUUUAAGAAAAUAACAAUCUCUUUUCAGGUGACCCUUCUUGUGGCAAUAGCUGCAUCUGAUUUCUUGUUUACCUUUCUCCCCACUUUGGUAUUUAGUAUCUUUCCAAUUGUUCUUAUUUCUGCCUUUUGCAAAAUGUCCUUCAGCACUCACAUUCUCUUUUCUUGAAGCUUGAAGCUUGAAGUUCGAGUUCUUUGGUCUUUACGGCUGAAAUUAUUGCAUAAUUUGUUACUGAUACUCUUUCAUACUUCAAUGCUGUUUUUACAUCUUUGUAAGCCUCUGGUAGUGAACAAAGUAUCAAGCUUAUUCCAAAUGUCAUAUGCAGAGUCAUCGACUGGGGCAAUUACGCUGGAUCAAGGAUGGCUUUAGACGCCUUCUGUUGACCAAGAACAACUUCGAUUUUGGCUUUCCAUAAUUCGAAAUCGCCUUUUCCAUCGAACUUCUCUAUUUCAAAUCUUGCAACCGUUAUCUCUCUUGUUUCUGCUUCUAGACGAAAGAUCUUCUAACCAACCGUGAGCUCUGAUACCACUUUGUUAAAGAUUGAAGAAUUCUUUAACCUUAAUCUUUCUGUUCGCAGAAUAGAAUGGUGAUGGAGGAUGAGAAUAGAAUGGUGAUGGAGGAUGAGAGAAAAUGAAGACAGAAGAAUUAAGUGGUUCAGCUUAAUUAAAGCCUACGUCCACUAAAGAAGAGCAGAUGAUUUAUUCACUAUGUUCUUGAAGAAAUUUUUACAAUGAUGAAGACUGAAGCUACAUGCAAAAGAGGUAUUUAUAUCUUAUACCUUUUUGAACAAAACUAUUAACUUUAGCUGAUUGAUCCAGAUUUCUGUUGGUUUCAACACGGUAAAAAACCCACAUUCACCUUUUCCUCGUCCAUAAGCUAGUGAAUAUCAAAGUACCUAUCGGCUCGGAAAAGCCACGCAUCGAGGUCUUCACUAGAGAAAAUUGGCAUUUCCAAUUUCUUGAAUUUGUUGCGAUUAAAGGACCCCAUUUCUAUCUUGCUUGUUUGAGCGUCCCUUUCAUUCCCCUAUUUUUGGAACAAAGAGUCCACUGUUUCUUACGGUUGUUUAUGUUUUUGUGUACCUCAAUCUGAGCGCGAGGACGCGUUUACUCCUCUUUUCUCGAUUGAAACUUCGUUUUUUAUCCACGCUAAGAUUUUUUGUGUUUCUCCUUGUUGACCUUCGAACUUCGCAGCAAUAUCUGAGACUAUUUGUGCUAGCUGGUUUAUCGCCCGUUCCAGUGUUGAUAACUUCGCUACAUCAUUGAUGGCGCCUAACUAUCUACCUGUCUCUCCCAUUCUUUCUUCUAACUUUUUUGAGCCAUUUUUCUCAAGUUUCCUUGGUCGAACUGCCUUGAUACCAAUUUGUAAGAAAAUCUUACAAGCAAACUGAUAUUCAAGAGGAGAUGAGCUUGGUUCUCUCCCUAUCCCAAGACUUCUCAAAAUGAACAAAGCAUACCCUUGCACAAAAGAUCUCAAAAGCAU